CAGCAGCCGCGGUAAUACGGAGGGGGCUAGCGUUGUUCGGAAUUACUGGGCGUAAAGCGCACGUAGGCGGCUUGGUAAGUUAGAGGUGAAAGCCCGGAGCUCAACUCCGGAAUUGCCUUUAAGACUGCCGAGCUAGUAGGUGAGAGAGGUAAGUGGAAUUCCGAGUGUAGAGGUGAAAUUCGUAGAUAUUCGGAAGAACACCAGUGGCGAAGGCGGCUUACUGGCUCAUUCUAGACGCUGAGGUGCGAAAGCGUGGGGAGCAAACAGGAUUAGAUACCCGUGUAGUCCCUGUCUCUUAUAC
rnacentral:rRNA from 1 species